rnacentral:rRNA from 1 species
UACGUAGGGGGCUAGCGUUGUCCGGAAUCAUUGGGCGUAAAGAGCGUGUAGGCGGUCCGGUAAGUCCGCUGUGAAAGUCGGGGGCUCAACCCUCGAAUGCCGGUGGAUACUGUCGGGCUCGAGUACGGGAGAGGCGAGUGGAAUUCCUGGUGUAGCGGUGAAAUGCGCAGAUAUCAGGAGGAACACCGAUUGCGAAGGCAGCUCGCUGGAACGUUACUGACGCUGAGACGCGAAAGCGUGGGGAGCAAACAGG